GUGUCCCACUUUAUUCCCUGAGCCACAGGGAAUCCGUUUUCUAGUACUUCUCUGUUAUAAAGUCUGCCUGCCUUAGACAAACACAUUUGGAAAAUAGAAGUGCAACCACAAGGAUGUGCAGACCCUAUCAGAAUAAAAUCGUAGAACCUUACCAGUCAUCCGGUAUAAUUUCCACAUUUUCCAGAUGAGGUCCGGGGAAUGAGGUGAUUCGCCCAAAAGCACACUACAAAUUGGAGUCACCAGCAGGUCUGCUAUUUUGCCACUAAACCAAUCUGCCGGUAAGAACUUUGUAGCACAGCUAGAAUGUAAACUGUGUUUUUUUGGUGGUUUUUUUUUUUUUUUGAGACGGAGCCUUGCUCUGUCGC
rnacentral:lncRNA from 1 species